rnacentral:rRNA from 1 species
GGGGGGGGGGGCAAGCGUUGUUCGGAAUUACUGGGCGUAAAGGGCGUGUAGGCGGUCCUGCAAGUCUUUCGUGAAAUCCCACAGCUCAACUGUGGAACUGCGAGGGAAACUGCAGGACUUGAGUCCGGGAGAGGAGAGUGGAAUUCCCAGUGUAGCGGUGAAAUGCGUAGAUAUUGGGAGGAACACCGGUGGCGAAGGCGGCUCUCUGGACCGGUACUGACGCUGAGGCGCGAAAGCUAGGGGAGCAAACGGGAUUAGAUACCCCGGUAGUCCUAGCCUUAAACGAUGAGCACUUGGUGUGGCGGGUAUCGACCCCUGCCGUGCCGAAGCUAACGCAUUAAGUGCUCCGCCUGGGGAGUACGGUCGCAAAGGCUG